AACAAACGCUGGCGGCGUGCCUAACACAUGCAAGUCGGACGCGAAAGGGCUUUCGGGCCUGAGUAAAGUGGCGCACGGGUGAGUAACGCGUAGGUAAUCUGCCUCUAAGUUGGGAAUAACUCAUCGAAAGGUGGGCUAAUACCGAAUAAUGCUGCAUCACCGCGGUGAUGCAGCCAAAGAUGGCCUCUGCUUGCAUGCUAUCGCUAAGAGAUGAGCCCGCGUACCACUAGCUAGUUGGUAGGGUAACGGCCUACCAAGGCUACGAUGGUUAGCUGAUCUGAGAGGAUGAUCAGCCACACUGGAACUGAGACACGGUCCAGACUCCUACGGGAGGCAGCAGUGAGGAAUCUUGCGCAAUGGGGGAAACCCUGACGCAGCAACGCCGCGUGAGUGAGGAAGGCCUUCGGGUCGUAAAGCUCUGUCGGGUGGAAAGAAACGUAUAGGUGUUAACAGCACUUAUACUUGACGGUACCGCCAAAGGAAGCACCGGCUAACUCCGUGCCAGCCGCCGCAGUAAUAC
rnacentral:rRNA from 1 species